rnacentral:misc_RNA from 1 species
UCUUGAGGCAUGACAAAACCAAGAAAGCAGCAUCAUAUGUCUGCUUUGCUGUGUCAUGCCACUUUACGACCAGCAGCAAAAUCAAGGUUCAAAUAUGGUAUCAUCCCCAAGAGAGUCCAAAGUUUCAAUACCAAUACACCCACACAUAAGCCGCACCUCUUAUCAAACCCUGUCUUCCAUCUUCCUUAUGGCUUUCUCUAUGGCAGGGAUGUUCUUCUUUAAGGCUGACCAUUGCUCCUCCUUCAGACUUAUCCCUGAACAUAUAGCAUAAGUUUAGUUCCCAAGGCCCGUCAUAUUAACAUGAAAUUCUUCUACCACAUGAGUAAAUUACAGAAGGAAAAUAUGUUAAACUAGCCUUAUUACAGACAGAAAAAGAAUCAAUCAACUAACAUGCCCACAAAAGAGCUGCAAUAAUACAUAAGAGUUGUGUCUCGUGUCCAUGCAAAACAAGAUCUCACCCGCCUACUCGUGAGUACCAACAGUCUAGCAAUCAACUCUUUCUAGUCAGUUCUUCACAUGAAAUUAUGAAAACAAGCCAUUGGAACACAACAAUGUCUCGUUAUCAAUUAAACAUGUUGAAAGGAAUAACUGUAAUCCAGGAAUGCAGCAAAUCAGAUGGUUUAACUUGUAUGAAAAUCUUAAUUUGACAUUUAUAGGCAUCAUGUAUUUCUCAUUGAAAUAAAUUAAAUAAUAAGACAAUCUUUCUUGGAAAAUAGAAACCAUGUAGAUGGUUUCAUUGAUCAAGCAGAAACCUUAUACAUAUUUAGUUUACAUUAAUAAUCCACUGUUAAUUGCUUUUUCCAUAUUAAUUUAUCCUGUACAUAUGCAUGUCCAUAAUUUUUUUUAAUCACUAUUCCCCUUUAUUCUCAAUCUUCAUUCUGAUCAACAUAAAUGAAAAACUUGGAAAAUUCUUGCGGGUUCAUCAUUUGGACUUGAUGCCAUAAUAUUUUUCAGAUAAAUCAAGUUUAAUGAUCAGAACUCUCAAUAGUUUUGGAUUGUUUAGUGCAAUACACGUUCGCAGAAAUUCAAAACCUUAGUACUGAGAAAGGAAAUGAAGGCAAACUUGAAGUUUGUGACCAGAUAAGGGCAGCAGAACAUCAGCAAAUCAGAGAUCAAAAGAUAAUCACUAUCCAUUGAGAAUAUCACAAAACUGGUAGACAUUGAUUCCUGAUGUUGAGACUUGAGAGACCAGUGGAGGCUGAGCCCCUGACAGAUGCCAUGGAAAUUUUAAUUUUGAACAGCAUAACACUCCCAGCAGAGGAAUCACAGACAACUCAACUAGAAAUGAAAGUUGUACCAAGAAAUUUUUACUCCCAAGAUUUUCUCCUAAUCCAUUAUAUCAUAAAUCAAUCAAAGGAAGUCCUGGAGCUCCAAGAUUCACGAUGACAAUUCCACAGCCUGCAUCUUUGUACCUCCUCUCAGACCAUACUGACUAACCCCUCAAAGACAGACAACACUGUCCUAACUACGAUUUUCUGUGUCACUUAAAUGCCCAUCACUCUACCAAUCUCCACUUAUAGCCACACUACAAAAUCUCUUAUCCAAUCCUUUAAUUUGGAAAAAAUUGCUAUUUUUUGCUACCUUUUCCUACCCGGCCACCCACAGUAUCAAAUUUGAAAUUAACUAGCAUUUUCCAGAAAUUUAAAUUUAACAAACAUUAUCCUAUAUAUAUAUAUAUAAUUCUGUUGGCUAAAAUCAACUUCAAUUCAAUAUUACAUCGAGAAGAAACACAAAAACAUUUAACCACACGCAAAAAUAAGAAAGAAAGAAAAGAAAAGAAGCAACCUUUAGAAGUAGGAAGCUCUUUCCCAUCUUUCUUGUAGAAUUCCCUUAUUGAUACCAAGGUCGUUCCCCUGAAGUUCUGAAUCGUCACCUUCCUCUUAUCCGAUAGCUAAAAAAUCCACCCAAAAAAAUUCGAUUUAAAAACCAAAAGUUUACUCAAUAAUGAAAUGAAAGAUAAAGCAACUGACCCGGCAAACGAUAAGGUCACCGUCUUCAUCGAACUCUUGUUCGUUGCUCUUGUCUCCUUCUUCCUCUUUUGCUCUCUGCUCUUCUAGGAAAGUAUUGACAACGUGGCGUACAAAGGCCCUGUAUUCGGAUAUAUCGAGGUUGAGGUCGAGCUUCUUGGAGGCCAUCUUCCGAAUCUGGUACUCCGUGGUGGAUUCCAUGUCAGAUUCUUGGAGGAUUUCCCUAACUGUUUGCUCGAUUUUUAUUUUCAAUUUGGGUUCCAUUUUGGAUUUCUGAUUAUGUGAUGGUGGCAGUACCAAUUAGGGAAAUUGUGCGUUCUGAUGUUUGGGGUUUUUCCUUCUUUUACUGUACUGACUGACUCAUGAGAAAGAAAUUUGCUGCUGCUGAGGUAUACGAGUGUCUCUUUUUGGUAAACCUGGCCGGGGCAGCGAUGGUUCAGACCCUGAAUUUGAUCGAUUUAUUCAAAUUCGGACUAAUUUUAGCUAUAUGUUUUAUGGCUUGGAAUCCGCCCAAGUCG